UUUUUAUUUUACCGACUGACUCAGCUAAAGAGCUGCUGGACAAGUGGAAAUUUAAUCGGCUUUGAUCAAAGACUACUAUUUCUGUGCUAAUUCAUGUUGUUUUCAUGUGCUAAAAACUUGUUUUAGAGAGGCAUGACUGGCUCCUAUUUGGACUUGUUUUAAUCUGUCUUAUUCUUUAUCAUUUUACAGGAAAUGUUGGCUAAAGUGGAGAUUGGAGGGGUCCUAAAAUACGUGAAAAUUCCAGAGACUGAUGGAUUUUUUCAAUUUGAUAUGUUCCUUCAAGAAGUGAACGACAAGUUUAGUCUGCAGCCAGACAGCUUCAGUGAGGGCCAGUUCACCAUCACAGAUAUGUCAGGAACAGAGGUGGAUGGAGAUAUCUUUGAUGAGCUUGUCAAGUCGGGUGUCCUGACCUUCAAGGUCCCUUUACCAGUAAUGGAUCUGGAUGUUGAGCUGGUUGCAGAUCAAGCAUCCUCCUCUGUAUUGACAUCGCUGUCCCCAACUUCAUCCCAUUCAUCCUUGGUAGUGGCACAGACUGCACUAUCCCCAGCUUUAUCCCAUUCAUCUGAUUCCACCGUUAUUCUGGAGUCCACAAGAAAAAGGAGGAACCCAACAGGGUUAAUGGACCAGAAUGAAGCAAAACAGGAGGGUUCCACCGUCAAGUGUAAG
ensembl:lncRNA